GGCUGGUCCGAAGGUAGUGAGUUAUCUCACGUGAUUGUUCACAGUCAGUUACAGAUUGAACUCCUUGUUCUACUACUUUCCCCCCUCCUCACUACUGCACUUGACUAGUCUAAA
ensembl:misc_RNA Y_RNA Y RNA